AACGAACGCUGGCGGCAGGCUUAACACAUGCAAGUCGAACGCGCCCUUCGGGGCGAGUGGCAGACGGGUGAGUAACGCGUGGGAACCUACCUUUUGGUACGGAAGAAAUCAGGGAAACUUGAGCUAAUACCGUAUGUGCCCUUACUUUUAAUCGGGGUUGGGGAAAGUUUCAUCGCCAAAGGAUGGGCCCGCGUCGGAUUAGCUAGUUGGUGGGGUAAUGGCCUACCAAGGCGACGAUCCGUAGCUGGUCUGAGAUGAUGAUCAGCCACACUGGGACUGAGACACGUCCCAGACUCCUACGGGAGGCAGCAGUGGGGAAUAUUGGACAAUGGGGGCAACCCUGAUCCAGCCAUGCCGCGUGAGUGAUGAAGGCCUUAGGGUUGUAAAGCUCUUUCGCCGGUGAAGAUAAUGACGGUAACCGGAGAAGAAGCCCCGGCUAACUUCGUGCCAGCAGCCGCGGUAACAC
rnacentral:rRNA from 1 species